GGGCCCGCACAAGCGGUGGAGCAUGUGGUUUAAUUCGAUGAUACGCGAGGAACCUUACCAGGGCUUAAAUGUAAGUUGCAUGGACCAGAGAUGGACCUUUCUUCGGACUACUUACAAGGUGCUGCAUGGUUGUCGUCAGCUCGUGCCGUGAGGUGUCAGGUUAAGUCCUAUAACGAGCGCAACCCCUAUCGUUAGUUGCCAGCGGGUCAUGCCGGGUACUCUAGCGAGACUGCCGGUGCAAACCGAGAGGAAGGUGGGGAUGACGUCAAAUCAUCACGGCCCUUACGUCCUGGGCUACACACGUGCUACAAUGGCCGGUACAGAGAGCAGCCACUACGCGAGUAGGCGCGAAUCUUCAAAGCCGGUCUCAGUUCGGAUCGCAGUCUGCAACUCGACUGCGUGAAGCUGGAAUCGCUAGUAA
rnacentral:rRNA from 1 species